GACGAACGCUGGCGGCGUGCCUAAUACAUGCAAGUCGAGCGGACUUUCAAGAAGCUUGCUUUUUGAAAGUUAGCGGCGGACGGGUGAGUAACACGUGGGCAACCUGCCUGUAAGACGGGGAUAACUCCGGGAAACCGGGGCUAAUACCGGAUAAUAUCUUUCUUCGCAUGAAGGAAGGUUGAACGGCGGCGCAAGCUGCCGCUGGCAGAUGGGCCCGCGGCGCAUUAGCUAGUUGGGGAGGUAACGGCUCACCAAGGCGACGAUGCGUAGCCGACCUGAGAGGGUGAUCGGCCACGCUGGGACUGAGACACGGCCCAGACUCCUACGGGAGGCAGCAGUAGGGAAUCUUCCGCAAUGGACGAAAGUCUGGCGGAGCAACGCCGCGUGAGCGAAGAAGGUCUUCGGAUCGUAAAGCUCUGUUGUCAGGGAAGAACAAGUACCGUUCGAAUAGGGCGGUACCUUGACGGUACCUGACCAGAAAGCCACGGCUAACUACGUGCCAGCCGCCGCAGUAA
rnacentral:rRNA from 1 species